rnacentral:rRNA from 1 species
GACGAACCGUGCGACCGUUGUUCGGAUUCAUUGGGCUUAAAGGGCGCGUAGGCGGGCAGGCAAGUCGAAGGUGAAAUCCCACGGCUCAACCGUGGAAGUGCCCCCGAUACUGCCUGUCUCGAGGGAGAUAGGGGCGUGCGGAACUUCCGGUGGAGCGGUGAAAUGCGUAGAUAUCGGAAGGAACACCGGUGGCGAAAGCGGCGCGCUGGAUCUCUUCUGACGCUGAUGCGCGAAAGCCAGGGGAGCAAACGGG